AAGGCUUGAUUUCUUGCUCGGUGAUAUUAGGAGGUGAUGAAAACUUUAAGAGGUGGAGCCUUGUGGGAUGUUUUUAAGUCAUUGGGGAUGUGUCCUCAGAGGGGACUUUGGGACCCUGGUCUCUUCCUCAUUUUCUCUUUUGCUUCCAGGUCACGAGGUCUCCUUGAGGAAGCCCUUUCAUAGCAGGCAGAGAAUGGAAGAGGUGAAGUCCCUAAAAUGAAACCUGUCCUUAUGCCACAGAAUUCAGAACAUCCCCUCUUCAACACCAUAAGACAGGAACAGAGGGGGAGUUCCCAGGGUUUAUGAAGUCUUGAUUUAUUAUUUAAAAAAUAAAAAGGUUUCUCUUUGUUGGA